CCCAUUGAUGAUGAUGAUCCGAUUUCAAACAUCAUAACCGGCCUAGAUGAGGACUUCGAGCCGAUGAUCUCUUCAAUCUGCGGCAAGACAGAAGCGGUGACUAUUGGAGAGGCCCUCUCCCAACUCCUGGACUUCGAGC
rnacentral:snoRNA from 1 species